AAGGAAGAAAGAAAAGAAAAGAAAAGAAAGAAAGAAAGAAAGAAAAAGAAAAAGUAAUACAGAGUUUGAACGGCGAUGGGAAGCAACACGGUAGAGUGUGAGCUAAUUAAGUCUGGAACCUCGUGAGGGGUAUAAAAUAUGAUGUAAUCAUAGAGGAUUGGUGAUGAUACAAUAAACAGGCAGAGAUUUCCAUCACAUGACAUCACUGCUCUGAGGGAAAUAAAGAUAAGAAAGCUCUAGCUUCCGCUUGCCCACCUGUGUC